rnacentral:lncRNA from 1 species
GGGGUGGUGAUCUCAACGGUUUUCAAGUUCUUAAACAGGUAGGGGUAGGCAGAGGAUUUAGGGGGGGGGGUGCCCCCCUUUUUGGGAAAAGAAUUGGUUGCUUAUAUAGGGAAUCACUGAAGCGUAUCUGGGAGCGGGCCCAUCUUAGGUCAGUCAGUGAGCCCCCACUUAUGAAAAUUUCUGGAUCCCCCACUGGGGGUAGGGUGACCCUAGGGACUUCCCCUAAAUUUCAUUUUAUUUGUUAUAUUGUCCCAUACAUAAAUACAUAUGGUUUAGGGGUGGGGAUCUCAUUGGUUUCCAAGUUCUCAAACAGGAGGGGUAGGGUGACCCCAGGGACUCCCCCUAUAUUUCAUUUGAUUUGCUAUAU